rnacentral:rRNA from 1 species
UACAGAGGUGGCAAGCGUUGUUCGGAAUUACUGGGCGUAAAGGGCGCGUAGGUGGCGCGGUGAGUCAACGGUGAAAGCUCGACGCUCAACGUCGAGUCGGCCGUCGAUACUGCCGCGCUGGAGCACUGUAGAGGCUCAUGGAAUUCCGGGUGUAGCGGUGGAAUGCGUAGAGAUCCGGAAGAACACCGGUGGCGAAGGCGGUGAGCUGGGCGAGUAGCUGACACUGAGGCGCGACAGCGUGGGGAGCAACAGG